rnacentral:rRNA from 1 species
UACGUAGGGUGCGAGCGUUAAUCGGAAUUACUGGGCGUAAAGCGUGCGCAGGCGGUUUGUUAAGGCAGAUGUGAAAUCCCCGGGCUUAACCUGGGAACUGCAUUUGUGACUGGCAAGCUAGAGUAUGGCAGAGGGGGGUAGAAUUCCACGUGUAGCAGUGAAAUGCGUAGAGAUGUGGAGGAAUACCGAUGGCGAAGGCAGCCCCCUGGGCCAAUACUGACGCUCAGGCACGAAAGCGUGGGGAGCAAACAGG